AAAAGUUUUUCUUUCUGAAGCUCUCCAGAAGUUUCUCUCAAACCGACUCAUCUUCUUCUUCAAUCUUCAUCUUGAUUCUUCCACGUUUUCAUGGUAUCAGAGCGGGACGAUGAUCCGACGAUUCUCUGCUAUAUUUUGUUAUCCCAAUCGAAAUCGCGUUGGAAAGUUUUCGGGUGUUUGUGAGAUAUUUGGUCAGUGAUGAUUUCGAUGAAGAUCGAGUGUUGAUCUGAGACCUUUAUCACCGUUAACUAGUUGCAUCUUCACUACUUGGACGUUUUGGGUUGGUUUUCCGACAUCCUCGACUCGAUUCCGGCGAGACUUCAGAUUUUAGGGUUUCUGCUGCUCGGAACUGGCAUUUUUUCUGUUAAUCGAAGGACGAUCUUCUCCGGUCGCGAAGAAGAAGGGUAAAUCUGUUCCUGUUUUAGGUGCUAUAUGAUUUGCAUGAGGUUUUUGAUACAACUUUAGUUUUUUCAAACUAAUUAAAGAGAUUAUCUUUUGAUUUUAAACGAUCUUCUCCGGUCGCGAAGAAGGAGGGUAAAUCUAUUCCUGUUUUAGGUGCUAUAUGAUUUACAUGAGAUUUUUGAUACAACUUUAGUUUUUUCAAAUUAAUUACAGAGACUAU
rnacentral:lncRNA from 1 species